rnacentral:rRNA from 1 species
UGGGGAAUUUUGGACAAUGGGGGCAACCCUGAUCCAGCAAUGCCGCGUGCAGGAAGAAGGCCUUCGGGUUGUAAACUGCUUUUGUACAGAACGAAAAAGCCUACACCAAUACUGGAGGUGAAUGACGGUACUGUAAGAAUAAGCACCGGCUAACUACGUGCCAGCAGCCGCGGUAAUACGUAGGGUGCGAGCGUUAAUCGGAAUUACUGGGCGUAAAGCGUGCGCAGGCGGUCUUGUAAGACAGAGGUGAAAUCCCCGGGCUCAACCUGGGAACGGCCUUUGUGACUGCAAGACUAGAGUACGGCAGAGGGGGAUGGAAUUCCGCGUGUAGCAGUGAAAUGCGUAGAUAUGCGGAGGAACACCAGUGGCGAAGGCGAUCCCCUGGGCCUGUACUGACGCUCAUGCACGAAAGCGUGGGGAGCAAACA